rnacentral:lncRNA from 11 species
CAGUGAGGAGUAAGCAAUGCAAUGUUUAGUUGUUGUCUGUUCAUUAGAAGUCAGCUGUUUGGUAAUGGAGACUAUUUAUGGGUGAGUGGAUUUUUGAUUGGACCUAAAGCAGCAAAAAAAUGUCUUGUGGCAUGAACAGAUUGAACAAAUUUGUUUCAGAUCAAAGUUUCGUGAACUCGCUCCAUUUGCAACAACUGGCUGACAAUAUGAACCUUCAAACCUACCUUAAAAUCCAUCUGGCUGCAUCAAGGGAUGGAGUUCUGUGUUGCUGGUGAACAGGAUACUGAAGAAUAGAACAGGAUACUUCCACUUCAAAGUCAACAAUCAGCAGUAAACAAAACAGAAGCCGGCCCCUCGUGAGCUCAAUCUGCAACUUGUUGACUGUAGUAAGAAAUAAAUAUAAACAACAUGCCUUCUAAUAGUGAGUUAGAGUGGUGUAAGUCUAUGAUUCUAUUAUUCUAAGUCUUAUAACAUCAGAACCCACUUUUUGGAUUGUUGCAGACUUAGAUUUCUUUUCUGUCUGCAAUGGACAAAU